CAGCUAGCUCAAUUACCCAAUAACUAAACAAUGUAAAUAAAACAAAAUAAGCCUAACACCAAAAAUUAAAUCAUUCUUUUACCUUAGUAUGGGCGACAGAAAAGGUUAUACCCGGAGCAAUAGAAAAAGUACCGCAAGGGAAAGCUGAAAGAGAAAUGAAAUAACUUAUAUAAGCACCAAAAAGCAAAGAUUAAAUCUUGUACCUUUCGCAUCAUGAUUUAGCCAGUAUACCCAAGCAAAGAGACCUUUAGUUUGAAACCCCGAAACCAAGUGAGCUACCCCGAGACAGCCUAUUAAGGGCCAACCCGUCUCUGUGGCAAAAGAGUGGGAAGAGCUCCGGGUAGAGGUGACAGACCUACCGAACUUGGUGAUAGCUGGUUGCCUAAGAAGUGAAUAGAAGUUCAGCCUCGUACUCCCUGAAUCAAAAGGUAUAAAAAGAUAUUAGAGGGAAAUAUAUGAGAGUUAGUUAAAGGGGGUACAGCCCCUUUAACAAAGGACACAACCUUUCCAGGAGGAUAAAGAUCAUAAUACAUAAGACAUCCUGUUCUAGUGGGCCUAAAGGCAGCCAUCUAAACAGAAAGCGUUAAAGCUCAGACAGAAAUAAGUUUAUUAUUCCGACAAGAAAUCUUACUCCCCUAAAUAUUAUUAGGCCAGCCCAUGCCCACAUGGGAGAGACUAUGCUAAAAUGAGUAACAAGAAGGCCAGCCCUUCUCCAAGCACAAGUGUAAGCCAAACCGGACCAACCAUUGGCAAUUAACGAACUCAACCCGAGAGAGUAAUGUGUAUUACAACAAAACCAGGAAGAACCCACAAUUAACCCAUCGUUACCCCCACACUGGUGUGCUAUUAAAGGAAAGACUAAAAGAAGGGAAAGGAACUCGGCAAACACAAGCCUCGCCUGUUUACCAAAAACAUCGCCUCCUGCAACACAACCAAGUAUAGGAGGUCCAGCCUGCCCAGUGACUACAAGUUCAACGGCCGCGGUAUUUUGACCGUGCAAAGGUAGCGCAAUCACUUGUCUCUUAAAUGGAGACCUGUAUGAAUGGCUAAACGAGGGCUUAACUGUCUCCCCCCUCCAGUCAGUGAAAUUGAUCU
rnacentral:rRNA from 1 species